CAAGGAAUUGAAACAGUGGGAACCGGUUCUCAACAAGAACCGGUUUUCGAUACCCAUCCCUAAUGAAACCUGAUUACUGGGAGUACAUGUUUUCCACUAAUGGACGAUUCAAGCAAGUCCAACACAAAGUCACAGACCGUGUAAUGUCCAAAUCUCCCCUGGGAUUAACAGUAGCACAAAAACCGCCCUCUGGGAGAUUCAGGGACUGAGUUUUCAUGGCCAGGCAGCUCCUGUAGGAGUAAUGUGUAGGUGGGCCAGUAGUUUUUAAACACACCAGCUUCUCAUGUUAUGUUUCCCUUCUGUCUGUUUUACUUGCCUAGCUGCCUUUGUAUCAGUGUCCUUGUUACCAAUUUGUUUCCCCUACAGUUGGAUGUAGUCUAAGUUUACCUUCCUGGACUGUCCUGGAGAUUUUUGAGUUAAGAAGUUGUUCUUACCAGGAACUGCAACAUAUGGAGGACUGGUUGUUAGACCAGUCUUAGCUGGACUGCAUAGCUGAACAAAGACUAAAACCUGCAGACCAAGAUGCUGAAGUUAGAGUCCAGUCAUGGUCUACGGUGGGUGGCUGGAGUUUCCAUUAGGCUCCUGAACUGACCUGGGAUCCGCCCCUGGGCAGGGCCAACUCCAGCUCCUGCACACCUGGAGCCUAUUGCAGGCAAUCAAGCCAGAGGGAUUUAAACCACACAUCGAUGUUCAUUCACUGCCAGUUCGUCAUCAACCCAUUUGCUGUACCCACCCUGGCUCACACUCCACCUCCGGACUCAGGAUACCUAGUGAUCAUUUUGGAAAUCCCUCUGUGCCUCACCUGCCUGCCCUCCUGCCAUCACACUCCAUCUGGAGCCCCGGAUCUCAGGUCAGCCUUUCCACGCCACUCAGCCUCCCCUGGAUCUUCAUCACCCCCCCUCUCAAACACUCCAGGUCCCUAACUGCAAGUAAGAAUUGCUGCUCUUAUACUGGCCACUUCUGAGCUGCCUUCACUACCUGCCUAACUCCUAUAUCCUCUUCCCUCAGUGUGACUGUUCCCCACUCAGCUCCGUUCCGCUUCUCAGGCCUCGUUCCCUCGCCCUAGCCACGUUCCCCAGGGCACGCCACACCAAGGCUCCACGUCUCGUCAUUUUCUGUCCUUGCCACGUUUUUUUUUCCCUUUGCACUUAACCGUAAUAAACUGUUAAAUCAUC